GGCGGCCCCGGCGGCGGCCAUUGGCCCGGCGGUCGCCCGCCCCGGGCUCACGUAACCCUGGCGGGAGGCGCGGCCCGGCUCGGGCGGCCCCGUGCGCCCGGCUCGCGUGGGACGGGGGCGGCCGCCGCGCUUAAAGGGGCCCGAGGGGCGCGGCCGGCAGCCUGGGGGGCAGCUCCGCGAGUCGCGCGGGCUGCCCAGGGAGGCUUCGCUCUUUCGUACCAGCGAGAAAGCAGUCGGGCUGAUCUUCGUUCUUUUUGACAAAGGCCCUGAACUUGGGUCGCUUUGUUCAGGUAACAGGGCUGCUUUAGAGGAGGCGUGUACUGAGAGCGGGCUUCACACGUGAGGCUGCUGUUUCAAAGGCUCUGAUUUGAAUCACACUGAGCCCAAGAUUUUUACUGCUAAAAUGGUGGAUUAGGUGUUUGUGUUGGUGAGCAAUCAUCCUUUUGCACAACUGAUAUCUAAUGUCACAGCUAUCUUGCUACAACCCUGAGGAUGAAACCGGAACUGGAGAUGGCAGAACAGAGAGGUGGAAGCAAGCUGGAUCCUUGGUGACAUUACAGAGCCACCAUCCCUUUGUCCUAAGCUGACAGUCCACGUCAGAUUAUGACCUCCUGCAGGACUGGGAAUGGAUUGCCCUUAUAACCUCCUAAGUCCCCAGGAUAAAGCUAUGCUGGACUGGUUGCUAAGGAAAGAAAUACUUGUUGACUAAAUAAAUGAAUGAAAGGCUUGAUUCAUAAACUAGAAAUGCAACAGGAAGAAUCUGGGGGGUCUGCCAGAAAAAGCCUCAAAGGAAAGCCUCCAUCCCUCACUAAUGGAUGAUAAAUUAUGGCUUGAUUAUGCCAUAUGGCAAAUCUAAAAAAGAAAAAGUGAUUUGAAUAUUAGACAUAUUCUCUGAGUGUCGAUUCCCUCAGAGAAGAUGAAUAAACGCUUCUGAUUUCUUCAGAAAAAUGCCAAUGUUUUCCUACCUGUGAAGCUCCCUAAAACACUAAGUUCCAUUGAAUAAUAAAAGGAUAAUUACGUAUUUUCUCCAAAAAAAGGAUGUGUGCCCCUUGAGCAUCAUAGAUUUAAUUGGCCUUUUUAGUAAGAACUGUACUAAACACAAAGACUUGCUAGUAUUAGGGUAGUGGUGUGAUUUUUGAGUGGGGCUGCUCUGCACUCUCUUGCCUAGAAGAAGAGGUACACAAUUUCACAGUGUACCCACCCUUCUUUGUCUACGUACCAUCCUUCUAGACCAGUGUUUU